GUAGCUCAGUUGGUAGAGCAUCCGGCUGUUAACCGGCAGGUCGCAGGUUCGAGUCCUGCCUUCGGAGCCA
rnacentral:tRNA from 1 species